rnacentral:rRNA from 1 species
CCCAAGGAUGGGUCUGCGGCCUAUCAGGUAGUAGUGGGUGUAAUGUACCUACUAGCCGACAACGGGUACGGGUUGUGAGAGCAAGAGCCCGGAGAUGGAUUCUGAGACAUGAAUCCAGGCCCUACGGGGCGCAGCAGGCGCGAAAACUUUACAAUGCGGGAAACCGUGAUAAGGGGACACCGAGUGUCAGCAUCAUAUGCUGGCUGUCCAGGUGUGUAAAAUACACCUGUUAGCAAGGGCCGGGCAAGACCGGUGCCAGCCGCCGCGGUAACACCGGCGGCCCGAGUGGUGAUCGUGAUUAUUGGGUCUAAAGGGUCCGUAGCCGGUUUGGUCAGUCCUCCGGGAAAUCUGAUAGCUCAACUAUUAGGCUAUCGGGGGAUACUACCAGACUUGGAACCGGGAGAGGUAAGAGGUACUACAGGGGUAGGAGUGAAAUCUUGUAAUCCCUGUGGGACCACCUGUGGCGAAGGCGUCUUACCAGAACGGGUUCGACGGUGAGGGACGAAAGCUGGGGGCACGAACCGGAUUAGAUACCCGGGUAGUCCCAGCCGUAAACGAUGCUCGCUAGGUGUCAGGCAUGGCGCGACCGUGUCUGGUGCCGCAGGGAAGCCGUGAAGCGAGCCACCUGGGAAGUACGGCCGCAAGGCUGA